rnacentral:tRNA from 1 species
GGAAGGGUCGCAUAGUGGCCGAGUGCGCGGCAUUGGAAAUGCCGUGGGGGUUUCUCCCCUCGUGGGUUCGAAUCCCACCCCUUCCGCUA